CUCCUGGGAAACCCAUUCCGGCCCCUCCUGGGUCCUCUCCCCAGGGCCUUUUUCUUUCACUUUAUAAUAAGUGCUGCUUUCUGCUUUUGCUCUAUAGUAAGUACUUUUGCUCAGUUUUCUUUUGACUUUCUACCUCACAGUUUCUGGACUGAGAGAAGAACCCAGUUGUGGACCUCGAGUGGGAGAAGUGAGAGUCUAACCUCAGGCUGUUGUGCCCUCCUGCGUGUCCUCCCUUCUCCCCACAGUGGGGCCCAACUCUGUAUUGACUCUGUGUUCAAAAUUUACAGACACCGGAGGCAUUGGCCAUGAAGCAGGACAUCUGGCCUCAUCCCCCAUCUUGAACACCUGCUUUCUGUGCCAUAGAAGAGAUAGCUCAGCGAAUCUUGAGGUAAACUCCCUAACUUUAAGGAACUGUUACAUCUGGGUUAAACUGAACUGCCUUGUUACUGUAAUUUUACAUGGGCAAUGUGAACUGAGGAAAUGAAAUGUAACCACCUGAAUGAGAUCAUAGCUGUAAAACCUAUUAAAAGAAGAAGCUGCAACCCAGUGGGAGGUCGAUCACUGACACUGCUCUGAAUGUGAUCAGCCUUU
rnacentral:lncRNA from 1 species